CCCGUGGGGGGGGGCUACACAUGCAGUCGAACGGUAACAGGAUUAGCUUGCUAAUCGCUGACGAGUGGCGGACGGGUGAGUAAUGCUUGGGAACUUGCCUUUGCGAGGGGGAUAACAGUUGGAAACGACUGCUAAUACCGCAUAAUGUCUACGGACCAAACGGGGCUUCGGCUCCGGCGCAAAGAGAGGCCCAAGUGAGAUUAGCUAGUUGGUGAGGUAAGAGCUCACCAAGGCGACGAUCUCUAGCUGUUCUGAGAGGAAGAUCAGCCACACUGGGACUGAGACACGGCCCAGACUCCUACGGGAGGCAGCAGUGGGGAAUAUUGCACAAUGGGGGAAACCCUGAUGCAGCCAUGCCGCGUGUGUGAAGAAGGCCUUCGGGUUGUAAAGCACUUUCAGUUGUGAGGAAAAGUUAGUAGUUAAUACCUGCUAGCCGUGACGUUAACAACAGAAGAAGCACCGGCUAACUCCGUGCCAGCAGCCGCGGUAAU
rnacentral:rRNA from 1 species